rnacentral:rRNA from 1 species
UACGUAGGGUGCAAGCGUUGUCCGGAAUUAUUGGGCGUAAAGAGCUCGUAGGCGGUUUGUUGCGUCGGCUGUGAAAUCCCGAGGCUCAACCUCGGGUCUGCAGUCGAUACGAGCAAACUAGAGUGUUGCAGGGGAGACUGGAAUUCCUGGUGUAGCGGUGAAAUGCGCAGAUAUCAGGAGGAACACCGGUGGCGAAGGCGGGUCUCUGGGCAACAACUGACGCUGAGGCGCGAAAGCUAGGGGAGCGAACGGG